rnacentral:rRNA from 1 species
GAUGAACGCUGGCGGCGUGCUUAACACAUGCAAGUCGAACGAGAAAUGGAGACGGAAACCUUCGGGCGGAAGGCUUCAUUUCGAGUGGCGGACGGGUGAGUAACGCGUGGGUAACCUGCCUCAUACAUGGGGAUAACAGUUGGAAACGACUGUUAAUACCGCAUAAGACCACAGCACCGCAUGGUGCGGGGGUAAAAACUCCGGUGGUAUGAGAUGGACCCGCGUUCGAUUAGCCAGUUGGCGGGGUAACGGCCCACCAAAGCGACGAUCGAUAGCCGAUCUGAGAGGAUGACCGGCCACAUUGGGACUGAGACACGGCCCAAACUCCUACGGGAGGCAGCAGUGGGGAAUAUUGCACAAUGGGGGAAACCCUGAUGCAGCGACGCCGCGUGAGUGAAGAAGUACUUCGGUAUGUAAAGCUCUAUCAGCAGGGAAGAAAAUGACGGUACCUGAGGAAGAAGCCCCGGCUAACUACGUG